AACGGACGCUGGCGGCAUGCCUAACAUAUGCAAGUCGAACGAGAUCUUCGUGUCUAGUGGCGCACGGGUGCGUAACGCGUGGGAAUCUGCCCUUUGGUUCGGAAUAACAGUUGGAAACGACUGCUAAUACCGGAUGAUGACGAAAGUCCAAAGAUUUAUCGCCAGAGGAUGAGCCCGCGGAGGAUUAGCUAGUUGGUGUGGUAAAGGCGCACCAAGGCGACGAUCCUUAGCUGGUCUGAGAGGAUGAUCAGCCACACUGGGACUGAGACACGGCCCAGACUCCUACGGGAGGCAGCAGUGAGGAAUAUUGGACAAUGGGCGAAAGCCUGAUCCAGCAAUGCCGCGUGAGUGAUGAAGGCCUUAGGGUUGUAAAGCUCUUUUACCCGGGAUGAUAAUGACAGUACCGGGAGAAUAAGCUCCGGCUACCUCCGUGCCAGCCGCCGCGGUAA
rnacentral:rRNA from 1 species